GACGAACGCUGGCGGCGUGCCUAAUACAUGCAAGUAGAACGCACAGUUUAUACCGUAGCUUGCUACACCAUAGACUGUGAGUUGCGAACGGGUGAGUAACGCGUAGGUAACCUGCCUGGUAGCGGGGGAUAACUAUUGGAAACGAUAGCUAAUACCGCAUAAUAUUGAUUAUUGCAUGAUAAUUGAUUGAAAGAUGCUAUUGCAUCACUACCAGAUGGACCUGCGUUGUAUUAGCUAGUAGGUGAGGUGACGGCUCACCUAGGCGACGAUACAUAGCCGACCUGAGAGGGUGAUCGGCCACACUGGGACUGAGACACGGCCCAGACUCCUACGGGAGGCAGCAGUAGGGAAUCUUCGGCAAUGGACGAAAGUCUGACCGAGCAACGCCGCGUGAGUGAAGAAGGUUUUCGGAUCGUAAAGCUCUGUUGUAAGAGAAGAACGGGUGUGAGAGUGGAAAGUUCACACUGUGACGGUAUCUUACCAGAAAGGGACGGCUAACUACGUG
rnacentral:rRNA from 1 species